rnacentral:rRNA from 1 species
AUACGUAGGGUGCAAGCGUUAAUCGGAAUUACUGGGCGUAAAGCGUGCGCAGGCGGUUCGGAAAGAAAGAUGUGAAAUCCCAGGGCUUAACCUUGGAACUGCAUUUUUAACUACCGGGCUAGAGUGCGUCAGAGGGGGGUGGAAUUCCGCGUGUAGCAGUGAAAUGCGUAGAUAUGCGGAGGAACACCGAUGGCGAAGGCAGCCCCCUGGGAAGACACUGACGCUCAUGCACGAAAGCGGGGGGAGCAAACAGGAUUAGAUACCCUGGUAGUCCACGCCCUAAACGAUGUCAACUAGCUGUUGGGGCCUUCGGGCCUUGGUGGCGCAGCUAACGCAUGAAGUUGACCGCCUGGGGAGUACGGUCGCAAGAUUAAAACUCAAAUGAAUUGACGGGG